CGCCUGCCUCGGCCUCCCAAAGUGCUGGGAUUACAGGCAUGAGCCACCAUGACUGGCCCAUUUUGAUGCCUUUCUUAAACCUCAGUAUUUGUGACUCUGAAUCUGCACAUUUUAUCCAACCCAGAAAUGAUGGGCUCCACAUAAAACUUCCUUCUCCAAGAAACCUCCUGGACAUUUGAUCUCUUGAGCACUUGCAGUUAGUACUACCUUAGAGUUGAAGAGUUACCAGCAGGAAGAAGAGGUAUGAACUAUUUAAUCUAAUAAUCUUUCAUUCAAUCACCCAAGUUUUCAUUUCUACUCUGUAAAGUGUUAGAGGCUUCUGAGUGAAGUAGGUCUGAUACUUCCUUACAGCAGUUAGAGGGGCCUGGUGUGAAAAAAUGAUUACAACAACUGUCUGAAGGGCUGUAAUAGUGGCAUUUUGCAAGUAAUGUAGGAGCACAGAGGAGAUAACAACAAAGUCUCCUGGGGGUGUUCGGGAAGACUUCACAGAAAAGUAAUAUUUAAGUGUGGUUCUCAACAAAGAGUAGCAGUUUUCUGAGAGAGAGA